rnacentral:rRNA from 1 species
UACGUAGGUGGCAAGCGUUGUCCGGAUUUAUUGGGUUUAAAGGGUGCGUAGGCGGCCUGGUAAGUCAGGGGUGAAAGACGGUAGCUCAACUAUCGCAGUGCCUUUGAUACUGCCGGGCUUGAAUGCAGCUGAGGUAGGCGGAAUGUGACAAGUAGCGGUGAAAUGCAUAGAUAUGUCACAGAACACCGAUUGCGAAGGCAGCUUACUAAAGUGCGAUUGACGCUGAGGCACGAAAGCGUGGGGAUCAAACAGG